GAGAGUGACACUGUGCUGCGGCUGACAGGAAUUUUGUCUCGUUGCAUAAAUUUUCUUGCAACUGUAUUGAAGUUCCAUCCUAAAGAUUCCUCUUUCUACUCGAACGUGACCAAGGUGCUCUACGUACAAUCCUGGGGAUAGGGCUUUUAUUACAUAGCCGGCCAUGUUUCCUUUUGGAAAAAAGCUUAGAAGUAGCCAAAUUGUAAUAUAGAUAUUUUUAUUUGGGGCGUUAAUUACACUGUCAAUAAUAAUUCAAAUCACAAGUCAGGAAGUUCUUUCGUCAGGCCGUUCCAGCGGAUAGACCAACCAGCUCAGACUUCAUUCUGUAAUGAAGUAAAAAGGGUUGUUAAGUAUUUAUGUCAACAACUACAAGAAUUAACAUUAAUGAUCUCUCACACUGAACUGUACAAAUCGUGCAAUGGUCAGCCCGCUAAACCCCACUUGGUUAGCCUCCACGCCGACCUGAUCUUGCAGCUCCUUCAAUACUCAAUCGUGCAAUAGGGUGGAAUCCACCAUCCCUUGAUUAGUAUUGGAUAACCUCUACCAGAUUGUGCAAUAGGUCAACUUUACAGUCUCCCUAAUCCUGGUCUUCGGAUGGCAGUCACUACUCUGACUCCAUCCGGGACACACCUCAUAACAUUACAACCAGAUCGUGCAAUAGAUUGGAAUCCACCAAUCUGACCCUGGCCUAAUGAUAACUCAACUCUACCAGAUUGUGCAAUAGGGGUUGGACGAUGAUGUAUGAUAUAUGGUGUCACAACUCCCUUUAAUUCCCCAUAUAAAAAUGUCAACUGAACGCAAUGCUAGCAACAUGGCAAGGUCGGGAACUUUUUUGAACAUUGUUCAGCAGAUGGAGCUGUUCUACAAAUUUUUGACUAUUUUUCAAAUUUACGUCAUAAUGACACAUCAUAUUAAAUUCUGUGGUCUAAGGCUGUUUACGGUGUUUACGACUAUCUACGAACCUGUGCCAAGAAUUAUAUUAGUUAAUGAAUCACAAGUAUGGUCUUUAAAGGGAAAUUGAUUUAUUUAGCAGUAAAAUGGUUUCACUACAAUAAUCUCUAGAGUAGAGACAUCAGCUAUCAUAAACAUAAAUAAAUUCAUAUCGGAGGCCCUAAAACAACUGUGAACGCAUUAUAAGGUGAUUGAUGUCUGUACAAACGGUAGUUGCACUUGAGUUUUCGCAUGUGUUAGAAUACAGCAACGCCAAAAACAACAAGUUGUGUAGAAAAAGCAACAAUCCAUCGAGUAAUCUUUGUAAUCAAACCCAUUUGGAUGUAGGAACCAGCCUUGUUUCAAUGAUUUUAACUGAAAUUCCGCAUACCAUAAGAAAUGACAGUAAUUAAUAAAGUUAUUAAUAUUUUUAAUCAAAACUACAGAUGAGAAGUAUAAUACACAAUUAGUAAAA